UUUUACUAUAGAAAUAGAAACUUACCCAUUUCUAUUAUCUUAUGCUUUUAACUCUCUGUGACACUAAGGUGUUCCUUGAUGUGGUGCUAUGAUGAAGAUUAUGCCCAAUUAUACCCUCCAUGCCAAGAAAAAUGGAGCACUUCUUACUGAAACUUGAAGGUAUAUGACAUUGGUUCACAGUGACAAUCACAUGGUUUAAAGCAGAGCAGACCAUUGUGUGUCCCAAAGGGAAAGCUCACUGCAGCAUAAUUCAAGGUUGCAGUGACUUUCAUGAAGAAAUGAAGAUAAACAGAAAAUUUGUUGCUCAACACUCUGGGAAUAACUCACUUGGUUCUGCUACGAUUAAAAACCCCACAACUAAGAAUUCCACAUGGCCUAGUUAUUUCCUACAGAUGUCUGUGGUGACAGAGUAGAAGAAAGGACCUCUGAAGCUGACAUGCAGCAAGAAAGAAGUAUCAAGUGGAACAGAAACUGGCAAUAACAGCUGAAGAUAUGGAGCACCCAAAACCUAUAGAACACAAAAUAAAGGACAAGAAUUAUAUAUUUAUUUCA
rnacentral:lncRNA from 1 species